rfam:Marininema halotolerans strain DSM 45789 genome assembly, contig: Ga0104500_109
GGACGGCGAUGAUGCGGAAGGUUGCCGACACACCCGGCCCCUUUGCCAUGGGUGGUUGUCGGGCUAAUUUCCGUGGAGCAAGUUCGUUUCCGAGAAAAUGAGCGAAA